UGAACGCUGGCGGUAUGGCUAAAACAUGCAAGUCGAGCGCGAACGUCCUUCGGGACUAUUAGAGCGGCGCAAGGGCGAGGAAUCCAUUUCUACGUACCCCAAGGUCGAGGAUAGCUCAGGGAAACUUGAGGUAAUACUCGAUGUGGUGCUUCGGCAUCAAAGGCUUGCUGCCUUGGGAGCGGGGAAUGACCUAUCAGGUUGUUGGUGAGGUAACGGCUCACCAAGCCUUAGACGGGUAGCGGGUGUGAGAGCACGACCCGCCGCAUCGGGACUGAGACACUGCCCGGACUCCUACGGGAGGCUGCAGUAACGAAUCUUCCGCAAUGCACGAAAGUGUGACGGGGCAAUACCGCGUGUGGGAUGAAGCCCUUCGGGGUGUAAACCACUGUCAGGGUUCAGGAAAAAAAUGACCAGACCCAAAGGAAGGGCCGGCUAACUCU
rnacentral:rRNA from 1 species